rnacentral:siRNA from 1 species
GAUAUCUACGGCGCAGAAACGGC